AAACAUUAUUUUUCCGAAAAAUUUCUAAACGAUACUUCAGAGCAAGUGUUAUGGUAGAAAAAUUGAACAUACACACAAUAAAUAAAAAAACCACAUCAUAGAAAAACCAAUAUAUACCCUCGCUAUGCUUCAUAUCUAAAAUAACAUAUUCUAAUCUUUAAAUAUUAAUUUUUUCAGCAGUUUUUUUUAUUUUUAAUGUAUAGUUGUAUAUAUUUCGACUUAAUAAUUGAAGUUUAGCUUAUACAAUUUAACAGGAUAUUAAAUCUUAGUAUAGAUGUUUAGAAUAAAUAAAACACUCUAGAUAUUCUUGUUAAUUUGCAUUUUUAUUUUAUUUUAUUUAUAUAAAAUUAAAAUUGUAUACUAUCCAAUAAGAUAAAGAAUAUUCAAUACAAGAUAAAUUGUGUACAUGUCAUUUGUAUAGUCGCGUUUUGUUUAUCGAACGAGCAACAUGUAUGUUCCGCUCUCGAAUUUUGAAUAUACGCGUUCGUUUAGUAAUAUACUAACUAUGAAUAUGUCUUCGCCUUUGACACACGCGUGUUGGGGCUUGGAUCGUCUUUCGGAAUGUCUGUGACGGUUCAGGUUUUAGUUGACCAUGCAUUUAUACUACAAAUACAACAAGACAACGAAAAACUUAACUAAGUUUGUAACCCAAUUACAUUUGAGCAAAGCAAUACUACAGAGUGAAUUAUUACAUUUCCAAGUGAGUAAUAUUAAUGAUCCUAAUAAAAAUAUCGAAUACAAUACGAAGAAAAAUGAGAAGUUGGAUUCUAAUUCAGGUGUUAGUAAAAGCCGCAAUAUGAUUGAGCGAAAUAUCUGGGAAAACAUCUUGACUCACGACUUCACUGGAACAUCGUGUACGCCAGAAAAAGUUGCAAACAAAAAAUGCACAAACUGUUGUGGCUAGUUGGUUGACAAUCCGAGCUAGUCUUAACCAGCAAACGUAUCUUGUAUGUAUCGAUUCUUAAACCGAUUAGGAUUUAUGGUAUUCGACUGUGGGGUUUUGUCAGUAAGUCCAAUAUCGAAAUAAUACAACGAUGCCAGAUGAUCGCUUUUUGUACCAUUUUCGCAGCAUAUCGUUAUGAUAAGAACGGCAUAAUUCACCGCGAUUUGAAAAUGUCAUCUGUGCAGGAUAAAAUUACCCGAUUUGCUCGCAAACAUGCAAGAAAACUGGAGCUCCACACAAAUGCGACUGCCAAACAGCUCCUCGACUACUCGAAGGAUAUCAGACGACUCAAACGACUGAAGCUAUUUGACUUAGUCUAAUGAUUAGUUUAAGAAUGGGACUGCUUCAAUGGAAGUAAAACCCCACACAAGUUUUGUAUAUAUAUUUUGCAUUGUAUGCAUAAAUACUUCUAUUGAUUUAUAUUUAUAAAGAUUCUUUUAUCGUUAAAAAAAAAAAAAAAAGUCAAUUUUACUGUAAAAUGAAUGGUUUUAGGUUAUUUUUCAAACUGUUUCGAUUUGUGUUAGUGCAUUUAAAUUCAAACGGGAACGUCAUUGUUCUAACUUUUGAUAACUAGGUUAAACACACAUUGUAACCUUGUUUAUUAUUCUACAUUCCACUCUCCACACAUGUUCCACCCAGCUAAGACUUCGACUUUUCAUGACACCUACUUUAUCGGUUUCGUUAAAUGUUUUCCUUUAUACUGCGUUUGUCCUUUUCUUUAUCCUUUAUUCAUAUUCAUUGUUUUCAUUGAUCUUUUCAUGGCCAAAUAUCAUCUUUAGUAUUUUCUUCUCAAAUAUCAUUAGUUUCUUUUAGUCCCCUUUUAUUGAUUCCCAUCCCCGAAUGUAUGUAAUGCAAUAUGCCCGACUUUGGCUUUAUAUAGCCUAAUUUUGCCCUCCUGGAUUCUAGUUUUGACACUGUAAAUAUUUUUUACUGAAUAACAUUUUAAAAACAAAAUUCCAAAUUAUAAAAGAAAUAUUAUCAUAAAUUGUCCCGUUCUUUGAAAGAAUAAUAUUUGUAGGUUAUAAAUUGAAAUAAAAAUCGUAUUUCUUGUAUUUUAUUUUUUCCCCGAUUAUUAUGCAAAUUACAUUGGAUAUCAAAAAUCGAAUUUUUCUGUUAGUGGCUACCAACUUUUAAGUUGGGGCAAUAUUUCCGGUAUAUAACCUGGUGAACAGAAAUCAAAAAAAAAAAAGGAAACGAUGGCGCCGAAGUAUGCCAUAAAUAUUUGCCUUUUUACACAUAAUUAUUUUUCUGAUUUUUCCCAUAUAUUUUAAAAAUUAUUCAGAAUUUUAAAAAAUGACCAUUUUUAGUAACUAAAAAAUAUUAUUUUUCAGAAAAAGUUCUACUCGAUAUUUCAGAGCAAGUGUUCUGGUAUAAAAAUUAAUCAUACGCUCACAAAAAAAAAAUUCAAUAU